rnacentral:rRNA from 1 species
GACUAUUGCACAAUGGGGGAAACCCUGAUGCAGCCAUGCCGCGUGUGUGAAGAAGGCCUUCGGGUUGUAAAGCACUUUCAGUGGUGAGGAAGGUUGGUAGUUUAAUACGCUACCAAAUUGACGUUAGCCACACAAGAAGCACCGGCUAACUCCGUGCCAGCAGCCGCGGUAAUACGGAGGGUGCGAGCGUUAAACGGAAUUACUGGGCGUAAAGCGUACGUAGGCGGCUUAUUAAGCAAGAUGUGAAAGCCCCGGGCUCAACCUGGGAAUGGCAUUUUGAACUGGUGAGCUAGAGUUUUGAAGAGGGUGGUAGAAUUUCCAGUGUAGCGGUGAAAUGCGUAGAUAUUGGAAGGAAUACCAGUGGCGAAGGCGGCCACCUGGUCAAAAACUGACGCUGAGGUACGAAAGCGUGGGGAGCAAACAGG